rnacentral:ncRNA from 6 species
CAAGGGAACGGGCUUGGCAGAAUC